rnacentral:rRNA from 1 species
CCUACGGGGGGCAGCAGUGAGGAAUAUUGGUCAAUGGGCGUAAGCCUGAACCAGCCAAGUCGCGUGAGGGAUGAAGGUUCUAUGGAUUUUAAACUUCUUUUAUAAGGGAAUAAAAUGAGGCACGUGUCCCGUUUUGUAUGUACCUUAUGAAUAAGGAUCGGCUAACUCCGUUCCAGCAGGCGCGGUAAUACGGAGGAUGCGAGCGUUAUCCGGAUUUAUUGGGUUUAAAGGGGGCGUAGGCGGGUUGUUAAGUCAGGGGUGAAAGUCUGGGGCUCAACCGGAGAAGUGCAGUUGAUACUGGGAGGCUUGAGUAUGGGUGAGGUAGGCGGAAGGCGUGGUGUAGCGGUGAAAUGCUUAGAUAUCACGAAGAACCCCGAUGGCGAAGGCAGCUUACCAAGCCAUGACUGACGCUGAUGCUCGAAAGUGUGGGGAUCAAACAGGAUUAGAUACCCGAGUAGUC